rnacentral:rRNA from 1 species
GAUAAACGCUAGCGGCAGGCCUAACACAUGCAAGUCGACUCGAGUCUUCGGACUUGGGUGGCGCACGGGUGAGUAACGCGUAAGGAACUCGCCUCUUAGACCGGGACAACAUCUGGAAACGGAUGCUAAUACCGGAUAUUAUGGUUUUUUCGCAUGGAGGAAUCAUGAAAGCUAGAUGCGCUAAGAGAGAGCUUUGCGUCCCAUUAGCUAGUUGGUGAGGUAACGGCCCACCAAGGCAAUGAUGGGUAGCCGGCCUGAGAGGGUGAACGGCCACAAGGGGACUGAGACACGGCCCAG